CCCGUCUUCCUCUCCAUCUCUCUCAUUUCCUUCCCCAAACCCCGCAACCUCCCCAACAGCCACCACAAUCACUCUCAAUCAAAAACCAACAUGCCCCAAACUCCGCCUCAACCCUCCGUUCAGAUCCAAUCCCCAGAAGGCUGCUCUCCCAAAAACAAUGAUUGAAAUUGAUGAAAUCUCUCUCGCAAAGGCAAUGCUUCGAGGCGUGGCUGGAGGAGGUGCGACCUGGCCUGGACUCGUGGGGCGAAGGGAAGGCAAAGUGUUGAGGAGUGAGGACUCUGUGAGCUACUUAUACAACCUGGGCAAAGAGGCCGAUAACAACAACAUCGCCGUAGGAUCCCGGGGAAGUGUCGUCGAUAAUCUUUAUGUCGGCAAAUCCCUCAAUCGAGACUCCGAUAUCGUCUUUGAUUAUCAAUAAAAGGUCACCAGGUACUGGAAGUACCUGCAAGGCGAUUAUUACAUUGCGCCUCUCUUCAUGGUAUGAUGGACUUCGAUAACCUUCUCGAUUUCAAGAACGACGACCCACUCCUCAACCCUCUGCUAAGAAAAGGUGGGUCUUCUCUUCUCUUCGAAUUGGUAUUUAGGUUUUCUUGCUUUCUCACUUUACUUUCUUGAUUCAUUUAAUUUUUUUGUAUGAAUUUUGCUCUCUUAGAACUUAAAAUUUCAUUCCUUCUUUUUUGUUCUCGACCUUUUCAACUCUUGAGUGUAUUAGGAAAUUGGAUGAUAUUUUGACUGAUGUGAACUGGAGAAGGUGAGGUCUUGGUUGCCAAGUGGGAAGGUUAAGCCUGUGCGGUUGAAUGAUGUGAACUGGGGGAUUAGUUGGAAAGAUCGGCGAAUUCCAUUACUUGAUUCAACCUAGUACCAGUGCAAGAGAGUCUGCUCAAGAAGUUGGGAAAAGCAUGCGUGGUGGUACUGCAGACUUCGGUGAUCCUGUAACUUUCAGAUUUGGAGAAGGAAAACUAAUGCUGGGGUGGACCAGCAGAGGCCAAUAGUUGAAAGUAGCGUGGACAGAAAACAGGAGUUCUAUUCAUCUAAGAAAAAUGAUGAUUUUGCAGCUUUGGAACAGCACAUUGAAGAUUUGACACAAUAAAAGUUUUCUUUGCAACGAGCACUCGAGGCUUCACGUGCUCUAGCUGAGUCAUUGGCUUCUGAAAAUUCUUCUUUGACAGAGACUUAUAACCAACAGGAUAUAUUAGAGGAAAGUUGGUCUCUGGCUCCUCAGGCUCUAAUUACUGUUUCCAUUCAAACAGUUCAUUUAAAAGGAGUGGCUGGAAGUCCUGGAGGCAUUGUUCAAGUUGGAGUUUUUACUUGUAACAUACCAAGC